rnacentral:rRNA from 2 species
CGAACGCUGGCGGCGUGCCUAAUACAUGCAAGUCGAACGAACUCUGGUAUUGAUUGGUGCUUGCAUCAUGAUUUACAUUUGAGUGAGUGGCGAACUGGUGAGUAACACGUGGGAAACCUGCCCAGAAGCGGGGGAUAACACCUGGAAACAGAUGCUAAUACCGCAUAACAACUUGGACCGCAUGGUCCGAGUUGAAAGAUGGCUUCGGCUAUCACUUUUGGAUGGUCCCGCGGCGUAUUAGCUAGAUGGUGGGGUAACGGCUCACCAUGGCAAUGAUACGUAGCCGACCUGAGAGGGUAAUCGGCCACAUUGGGACUGAGACA